UUUAUUUUCGCUUAAGCGUCUUUGCAUUUUGUUUUGUAUAGACUAUUACUGAAUUGAUGAAAUAUGUUUUUAACUUAUUAUUUUUUUCGUUCAACGUUUUUAUACAUUUAUUAGUACAUUUUUUUAUAUAUUUAUUUAUACAUUUAUUUAUACAUUUAUUUAUUUAUUUUUUUUUUCCGUUUAACAAAUACAGCUAUAUUGUAUAUCGGCGAGUAGCGUCAAAAAAAAUGAAAUGAACGCAAUGAAUUUUUUACCAAGUAAUUCUAUAUUGUACCCUUUAGAUUUUCAAAAGAAUUGGCAGGCAUCAGAGCCAAUAAAAUUGAACAUUAAUUAUGACGUACCAUCGUAUGGGUAUAAAGACCUUCUAAUGACAUUGGAAUAUCAUAAUGAUUUGGAAACUUAUGAAAAUGAACUAGAGGAAAUAAAAAGAAGGACAAUCUAUGAACAAAAUAGAUUAGAGGAAAAUUUGUGGAAUAAAAUUCUAAAGAUUAAAUCCAGGACAAAGUAAUAUAUAUAUAUAUAUAUGUGUACUACAUAAAUUUAUUUACUAUUUUUUAAAAAUAUAAGCUUAAUUUGUUCGUUCAUAUAUAUGUCUACACUUUUUAGACAAUUUCAACACCAAAAGUUUUUAAGGUCACAUAUAGAUCACAAUUAACAAUUGUUCCUUUUUUUUAUCAGUACGUACAUAAGCGUGCAUCACAGACUUAUAUAAUAAUUUUUUAUGCAUAAAUAUAUAUAUGUGCUUUUAUGAGGAAGUUGUUGUUGUACACAUGUCA
rnacentral:lncRNA from 1 species